UGAGGCGGACCACGACCCACACAUGAUGAUGAACCCAGGUCCACCGCACGACGGCAGGCCACAGAACUGCCACCCACCCUCUGAUUGGACAUCCACCCCCUCCAAGGCCCCUUCAUCACCAACAAGGUCCCCCGCCACGCCCCCAUCAGCCCCACAGAGGAGGAGGUCCAGUGGGAGGAGGAGGACCCAGACACUGGGACAGGUACACUUCUCCAGCCCUGUAGACUAAUAAAAACAAAUCACCGAUUGCUUUAUUGCCGCGCAGGUGUUGUUGGAAGUAAUUUCCGUGGGUAUAAAAUAAAAAAUAACACGGUAUAAUAAAACGCCCCGGUACUUGGGAAUAAUUUAAGGAUUCAGAGGAUAAAAAUAUAAAACAUCAGGAAUUACAUCGCACUGCCUUCUCACCAGCCGUCCGCUGUCUCGCCCUUUUCUCAGAAACUUCCGGCCCCGUGAGGAUCACCCCCCACCCCGGAUGCAGGUGGCCCCCUUCCCGCCCAACGCCGCGCCCCCGGUUUACGCCGCCCCUGCGCUCUAUCCCCCCUCCCCCCCCAGAUCUACCCGCCCCCCUACUCCACGGGACCCGGCCUCAUCCCGCCGCCCCCCGUCGGCUACCAGCCCCAGCCUAUGUACCCCCCCGGGAUGCAGGGCAUCAACCCCCCCUGGAUGCCCCCGAACAACCAGCACCCCCUCGGGCCCCACCCACCCCCCCUCAACCAGCCCCACCUCUCCAAGGAGGAGUUCUACCGGCAGCACCAUCUCCAUCACCACCCCGACGAGUGAGCUUUGGCUUUGUUCCUGUUGGGGCCCGAAUGUGACAGUUAGAGUGCUGGGACUGGUGAUCUGUUUGGAAAUUGAAACAAUAACUUGAUUAAGAGGGGAUUUAAUGAAAGGGUAAUGAACGUUCUGAGUGGAGGAUGUUUACUGUGUGUCUGUCUGUGCUCCAUCAGGGUAACCUCCAAGCUUGACGAGUUCACUAAAGACUUCCACAAAGAGCUGAUGAAGUACUGCAGUGCGCCAAAGAGACGCAGACGGUCUUACACCAGGUCGCGGACCUACAGCCGCUCGCCGUUCAGCCGCUCUCCCUUCUCCAGGUCCAGGUCCCGGUCCCGGUCGUACUCCUACACCCCAAGCCGCUCGCGCUCGCGCUCCCGCAACCGGUCCUACCCCCGCUCGCCCUUCUCCCGGCGCAACGGGCGCAGCUACGGCCGCACGCGCUCCCGUUCCCGCUCUCGCUCCAGGCCGUACACGUACCGUCGGUCGGGCUCUCCGCGCUCUCCCGGGCCGUACCGCCCCCCCCGGUGGUCAAGGCUGGGACGGCGCAGACGGAGCCGCCUUCAGGUCCAGGUCCCGUUCCCGCACCCCUGGCGGCUUCCGGAGGGUCAGUCCCGGCGGCGGUGGAGGCGCUGGCGGAGGCGGUCGCAAACCCCCGCCGCGGGAGCCGCCACCCUUCGACGGGCGGGACAUGAGCCCCGGAACCCACGAGCGCUGGGAAAGGGACGGCUACAGGCAGUGGGAGAGGGACUACCGGGACUACUACAGUACUACAGGGACUACGACGGCCAGCCCCCGCACCACAGGGCGCACGGCAGCCGGGACCGGGAGAGGGACCGGCUCUCGCCCCCCGCCCAGAGACUACUCCCCCCAGGGCAAGAGCCGGAGGGUGGCGGGACGGCGACCGAGGCGCGCCCCUCGUUCCACCAGCCCUCCCUCCUCCUCCGGGACCAAGAGCAGCAGCAAGAGCAGCAAGUCCAAGAAAGUGAAGAAGAAGAAGAACGGGGACGAGUCGGAGGGCGGCCCACCAGUCCAUGGACCGAGGGGACGCCACCCCCGUCCGGGACUGAGCCCAUGGACGACGCGCCCAACCUCUCCAAGACGCCCCCCAGCUCCUCCAAGAGCAGCUCCGCCGCAAGGCCGCCACCAGCAAGAGCUCCUCCUCCUCUGGUCCGCCAAGACCUCGUCCAAGUCAGGGAAGACCUCGUCCGACAAGAGCAAGAAGGACAAGACAUCCAAGGUCAGGUCAAGGUGAAAAACCGAGGCCGCGAAGGUCAAAGGUAA
rnacentral:lncRNA from 1 species